GACAGAGGGUGCAAACGUUGUUCGGAAUUACUGGGCGUAAAGCGUGUGUAGGCGGCUAUGUAAGUCGGAUGUGAAAGCCCCGGGCUCAACUCGGGAAGUGCACUCGAUACUGCGUAGCUAGAGUACCGGAGAGGUUGGUGGGAAUUCUCGGGUGUAGAGGUGAAAUUCGUAGAUAGUCGAGAGGAACACCGGUGGCGAAGGCGGCCAACUGGACGAGUACUGACGCUGAGACACGAAAGCGUGGGGAGCAAACAGG
rnacentral:rRNA from 1 species